UGUGAAUAUAGCUCAUUUGGUAGAGCAUUUGCCUCACAUGCACAAAGCCCUGGGUUCAAUCCCCAGCACCAUAA
rnacentral:tRNA from 1 species